AUGUAGUGUAAAAAACACAUUAACUUUUCAUGUUAAAAAUAUAUUAAAUAUCAUA
rnacentral:tRNA from 1 species